rnacentral:rRNA from 1 species
CGCCCAGACUCCUACGGGAGGCAGCAGUGAGGAAUAUUGGUCAAUGGGCGAGAGCCUGAACCAGCCAAGUCGCGUGAGGGAGUACUGCCCUAUGGGUUGUAAACCUCUUUUGUCGGGGAGCAAAAGCCGGACGUGUCCGGCUGUGAGAGUGCCCGAAGAAAAAGCAUCGGCUAACUCCGUGCCAGCAGCCGCGGUAAUACGGAGGAUGCGAGCGUUAUCCGGAUUUAUUGGGUUUAAAGGGUGCGCAGGCGGAUUUUUAAGUCAGCGGUCAAAUCGUGGGGCUCAACCCCAUCCAGCCGUUGAAACUGGCUGUCUUGAGAUGUCGAGAGGUAUGCGGAAUGCGCAGUGUAGCGGUGAAAUGCUUAGAUAUCACGCAGAACCCCGAUUGCGAAGGCAGCAUGCCGGCUUCCGACUGACGCUGAAGCACGAAAGCGUGGGGAUCGAACAGGAUUAGAUACCCCUGUA